rnacentral:rRNA from 1 species
UACGUAGGGGGCAAGCGUUGUCCGGAAUCAUUGGGCGUAAAGAGCGUGUAGGCGGCCAGAAAAGUCCGCUGUGAAAACUCGAGGCUCAACUUCGAGCUGUCGGUGGAAACUUUCUGGCUAGAGUCCGGAAGAGGAGAAUGGAAUUCCUGGUGUAGCGGUGAAAUGCGCAGAUAUCAGGAAGAACACCCGUGGCGAAGGCGGCAUCCUGGACCGGCAUUGACGCUGAGGCGCGAAAGCCAGGGGAGCAAACGGG